rnacentral:ncRNA from 2 species
CAAAUUCGUAUCUAGGGGA